UACAGGGGGUGCAAGCGUUGCUCGGAAUUACUGGGCGUAAAGCGUGCGCAGGCGGUCCUGCAAGUCGGGGGUGAAAACCCGGGGCUCAACCCCGGAAUUGCCUCCGAAACUGCAGAACUCGAGUACGAGAGAGGGUUGCGGAAUUCUUGGUGUAGAGGUGAAAUUCGUAGAUAUCAGGAAGAACACCAAUGGCGAAAGCGGCAACCUGGCUCGAUACUGACGCUCAUGCACGAAAGCGUGGGGAGCAAACAGG
rnacentral:rRNA from 1 species